rnacentral:rRNA from 1 species
UCGAGGAUCUUCGGCAAUGGGCGCAAGCCUGACCGAGCGACGCCGCGUGGAGGAUGAAGGCCUUCGGGUUGUAAACUCCUUUUGUGGGGGAGGAAAUCUCUGACCUAUCCCAUGAAUAAGCACGGGCUAAGUUCGUGCCAGCAGCCGCGGUAAGACGAACCGUGCGAACGUUGUUCGGAAUCACUGGGCUUAAAGGGCGCGUAGGUGGCUAGCCAAGUCGGGGGUGAAAUCUUUCGGCUCAACCGGAAAAUUGCCCCCGAUACUGGAGAGCUCGAGGGAGAUAGAGGCGACGGGAACUACCAGUGGAGCGGUGAAAUGCGUUGAUAUUGGUAGGAACGCCAGAGCCGAAGGGGCGUCGCUGGAUCUCUUCUGACACUGAGGCGCGAAAGCCAGGGGAGCAAACGG